AUUACUUUAAAACCCUGCAAUGCUUUUUUUAAAUUUAUGUCUGGAUCUUGAGGGUUUGAUCUCUUGGUUGAGAAGGUUACUUCCCCAACAUAUGGGGUGCAUAUAUAACACAAGUAUCGACAACACAUGUAGCUAGAGUUUUACUAGAGGGAGCAAAUGUACAUUUUGCUUCUGAGGGAGUGUCAAUCUUUUAUGGCCUUGGUUUGUUUAAC
rnacentral:lncRNA from 1 species